GAUGAACGCUGGCGGCGUGCCUAAUACAUGCAAGUCGAGCGAAUGGAUUAAGAGCUUGCUCUUAUGAAGUUAGCGGCGGACGGGUGAGUAACACGUGGGUAACCUGCCCAUAAGACUGGGAUAACUCCGGGAAACCGGGGCUAAUACCGGAUAACAUUUUGAACCGCAUGGUUCGAAAUUGAAAGGCGGCUUCGGCUGUCACUUAUGGAGGGACCCGCGUCGCAUUAGCUAGUUGGUGAGGUAACGGCUCAACAAGGCAACGAUGCGUAGCCGACCUGAGAGGGAGAUCGGCCACACUGGGACUGAGACACGGCCCAGACUCCUACGGGAGGCAGCAGUAGGGAAUCUUCCGCAAUGGACGAAAGUCUGACGGAGCAACGCCGCGUGAGUGAUGAAGGCUUUCGGGUCGUAAAACUCUGUUGUUAGGGAAGAACAAGUGCUAGUUGAAUAAGCUGGCACCUUGACGGUACCUAACCAGAAAGCCACGGCUAACUACGUGCCAGCCGCCGCCGUAA
rnacentral:rRNA from 1 species